GACGAACGCUGGCGGCGUGCCUAAUACAUGCAAGUCGACCUUAGUGGCGAACGGGUGAGUAACACGUGGGUAACAUGACCAUAAGAAGGGGAUAAACCUUGGAAACAGGCGCUAAAACCGUAUACUGAUGGAUGGACCCGCGGUGCAUUAGGUAGAUGGUGAGGUAACGGCUCACCAAGGCCACGAUGCAUAUCCGGCCUGAGAGGGUGAUCGGCCACAUUGGGACUGAGACACGGCCCAAACUCCUACGGGAGGCAGCAGUAGGGAAUCUUCGGCAAUGGACGAAAGUCUGACCUAGCAACGCCGCGUGAGUGAAGAAGGUUUUCGGAUCGUAAAACUCUGUUGUUAGAGAAGCGGUAUCUAACCAGAAAGCCACGGCUAACUACGUGCCAGCCGCCGCGGUAAUAC
rnacentral:rRNA from 1 species